rnacentral:rRNA from 1 species
GACGAACGCUGGCGGCGUGCUUAACACAUGCAAGUCGAACGGAAAGGCCCUGCUCUUGCGGGGUGCUCGAUAGGCGAACGGGUGAGUAACACGCGUGUAACCUGCCCUUGACUUUCGGAUAACAUCAGGAAACUGGGGCUAAUAUACGAUAGGAUCUCCUGAUGCAUGGUGGUGGUUGGAAAGUUUCGGCUGUUGGGGCUCGUCUCGCGGGUUAUCCGCUUGUUGGUGGGGUAGUGGAUUACCAAGGCUUUGACGGAUAGCCUGCCUGAGCGGGUUGCCGGCCACAAGGGGACUAAGGGACGGCCCAGACGCCAACGGGAGGCAGCAGGGGGGAGUAUGGCGCAAUGAGCGGGAGCCUGAGACGACGACGCUGCGUGCGUGAUGACGGCCUUCGAGUUAUAAACCGCUGUCGACGGAAACGAAGCGGGAGUGACGGUAAUGAGUAAGAAAGCACCGGCUAACUACGUG